rnacentral:rRNA from 1 species
GACAGUGGGCAGCAACUCCGCGAGGAGUAGCUAAUCUCCAAAAACCGUCUCAGUUCGGAUUGUUCUCUGCAACUCGAGAGCAUGAAGGCGGAAUCGCUAGUAAUCGCGGAUCAGCAUGCCGCGGUGAAUACGUUCCCAGGCCUUGUACACACCGCCCGUCACACCAUGGGAGUUGGUUUCACCCGAAGGCAGUGCUCUAACCCGCAAGGGAGGAAGCUGACCACGGUGGGAUCAGCGACUGGGGUGAAGUCGUAACAAGGUAACCGUAA